UACGUAGGGGGCGAGCGUUGUCCGGAAUUAUUGGGCGUAAAGAGCGUGUAGGCGGUUCGGUAAGUCUGCUGUGAAAUCCUGGGGCUCAGCCCCGGGCGUGCAGCGGAUACUGCCGGGCUAGAGGGUGGUAGAGGCGAGUGGAAUUCCCGGCGUAGCGGUGAAAUGCGUAGAUAUUGGGAGGAACACCAGUGGCGAAGGCGGCUCACUGGACCGGAACUGACGCUGAGGCGCGAAAGCGUGGGGAGCAAACAGG
rnacentral:rRNA from 1 species